UACGUAGGGGGCAAGCGUUGUCCGGAAUCAUUGGGCGUAAAGCGCGUGUAGGCGGCUCGGUAAGUCCGCUCUGAAAGUCCAGGGCUCAACCCUGUGAUGCGGGUGGAUACUGCCGGGCUCGAGUCCGGAAGAGGCGAGUGGAAUUCCCGGUGUAGCGGUGAAAUGCGCAGAUAUCGGGAGGAACACCAAUGGCGAAGGCAGCUCGCUGGGACGUGACUGACGCUGAGGCGCGAAAGCGUGGGGAGCAAACAGG
rnacentral:rRNA from 1 species